ACUUUUGGUAUAGCAUUGGAAAUGUAAAUGAGCUAAAUACCUAAUAAAAAAUGGAAAGAAAAAAAAAAUAAAGUGGCUGUUAGAUCUGGAGGCUUGUGCAGAUUCAUUUCCUUGGUGGGAGCAGGUGUCAGGGAGGAGGGUGGCAGCCUGGAGGACUUCUACUAGAAGUUAAAUAUCAUACCAGCACGCACCGAUUGCCCUUUUCUGGUGUACUUUCCUGGUUGCAGAGAUGGAACACCUCACAAAGAAACCUGAAGGCAGGGCUUGCUUUGGCUUCUGGUUUGAAGAUGCAGUCCACCAAGUAGUGGAAUGCAAGGUGACAGGAGCUUAAGGUCACACUGCAUCUGCUGUCGGGAAGCAGAAAGAGCUGGAUGCUGGCACUCAGCUCUCUCUCCUUUUUAUUCAGCCCAGGACCCCAGCCUAGGGGACAGUGCCACCUACAUUCAGAGUGGGUGCUGCUUCUCAAAACACCUCUUAGACAUUCCCAGAGGUCCGUGUCCUUGGUGAUUACAGAUAGCAAGUUGAUGAGAGUAACCAUCUGAUCUAGGUUGUUAUUUCACUAGAAGUCAUAAUAACACUAAUAAUUCUGUUUGUCUUUUGUUCCCCCCAAAAAUUGAGGAGAAACUUUCUAAAACAACUGUAUUUUCUUUCUCUGGGGAAUAAUUUAUGUAGUGAAGCCAUUAGGAGUAAAGACCUGCUGCUGCUGCUGCUGUUUUUCUUUUCUUUCUUUUUUUUUUUUUGCCUCAUUUUCAAUGUGAAAACACACAAAAUGAUGGGUAUAAUUAUGACACUGUUAUAUGGAUGUACUUUGUUCUUGUUCUUCAUCCCUCCUCACGGGCCUCCUUGCUUCCCCUGUCCCUCUGCCCAGGUAGUCCCCCUUUCUGUUUUCUUGUCAUAUACAAUCCAUUAUCUGUUGUGCCUCUCAUGGCCUCCUUCAGGUCUCCUCCUUCCUUCUCAUGGUCCGCUAGUCUUAUAUUUCACCCUUCUGCACACAGAUACCCCCAACACAGCUAGGGUGUGCUCUCUCUCUGUCUGUCUCUGUCUUGUCUCUCUCUCUGUCUGUCUCUGUCUCUCUCUCUGUCUCUCUGUCUCUCUCUCUAUCUCUCUGUCUCUGUCUCUGUCUCUCUCUCUCUCUCUUUGCUUGCUUUCUUGAUUCUACAUAUUAAAGGAAAUAAGAACAGGAUUUGUCUUUCUGAGUCUGGCUUCCUCACUUAAUGCAGUGAUCUUUGGUCCUGUCCAUGUUCCCACAAAGAAGUCUUGCUGUGAUUUAACAUUUGACAAAUAGUAUGUUGCUUCCCUAGCAUUCUCCGGUGAAGACCAACGAACUGUUUAGUUUUGUUGUAUUUUAUAAUGCCCUGCAUUAAGACAUAUUUUGGUAUAUUUCCAUUCCCAAAAUUACCAUGCAAGUUAGUUUUCAAGGUGGUUACAUUAAUUUUGCACUUCUACCAACAGUGUAGAAAAUUUUCUGGAGUGUACAUGCUGUUCUCAAACUUUUUGUGGUUUUACUGUCUUUCCACCACCUCUUCUGAGUUAAGACAUUAUUAAUUGGCCUUGUACAUCUAGCUUGUGGUAUGUUUAUUUACUACUGUCUCCAUGGAGUUCAUUAUGAUUUGCUUGUCUGUAUUCACUAUUAUUUAGUGAUUAUGUGUAUAAUUGCUGCAUAUAGUUGACUGAGGUAUAGCAUACUUAUACUUUUGUUCCAGAACUUCUUGUUUUUCCUGGAGUUAAGUAAGCACUUUUUGAUUUCUAUGUAUAUAUUACAAAACCGCCCCAACUUUAAUGAAUUUAGAAUUCUCCUUUUUGUAAUGCAAACAAUUUAUUUUAAAAACAGAAAUUUUGG
rnacentral:lncRNA from 1 species